UAAAGAGAAAUGUAUACAGGGAGAAUGCUCUGUGAAGACAGGAGGUUCGCAGCCACAGUCCAGGGACGUACCAGCAGCUUAAAAAGAGACCAAUGGCAUUUUAAGUGAGACGUGAAAUACGGGCUCUGCUACCGUGGCCCUUUGUCUGUCUGGUCAAAGAAGGAACAUAAACCCAUCUAAUUGAUCAAGUAGAAGGGAAAAGGAAGAGGGAAGAAAAAAAUGAGAGAAAAAGAGAAGAAAAAAAACCCCCAGGCUUUCAAGACUGUGAACUCCUUGGAACAAAGACACAAUCUCUAUUAUAGUUGAUAAAAAUCACCAGGAAACAAAUGUUCCAGGAGGUUGUAUCUUAGCAUAUAACACAGAGACAGCUAAGGCAAUUUCCAUAUCAAUCUGCCCAAAUGGAAAAACUGGUGUCACCUACAAGCCUAGAAAGAAACAAAUAUGUCCCCUGAACCUAACUGUGAGAGCCAGAAGCAAGAAAUACAGAAGCAGCUUCCUCAUGGCAGAAUUGCAUUUUUUUUUUUUUUUUGGUCUGCCAUCAACAGGUAUUACCAUGGUAACUAUCCUGUAGUUAAGAAGUAGUAGAGGUAAGGAAAUCUAUACAAAACCACCAUACAGGAAAAAAUAAGAAAAAUGUGCUGUAGCAAAACUAACCUCAGACCUAAAAGAAUGAGCAACAAGAGA